AAACGUUCUCAGGGCGGGGUGCAAUUCCCCACCGGCGGUAAUUGCGUGCAAUGCGCAUAGCCCGCGAGCGCUUGGCGAGACCGGUGGCUUGGCCACAGGUGACGACAAGGUCAGCAGACCCGGUGUGAUUCCGGGGCCGACGGUCAUAGUCCGGAUGAAGAGAGAACGGGA
rnacentral:ncRNA from 2 species